rfam:Microgenomates (Woesebacteria) bacterium GW2011_GWB1_38_5b TS96_C0057, whole genome shotgun sequence.
GGGCCGUUAGCUCAGUGGUAGAGCAGGAGCCUUUUAAGCUCUUGGUCGUGGGUUCGAAUCCCUCACGGCUCA